UAGAUUUGGAAACAGACUUCAUUAACAGCCUUCUUGCACCAUUGAUUUAAUCAUUAUUAUUAUUAUUAUUAUUAUUAUUAUUAUUAUUACUCCAUUCAGCCACAUACAUACAGACACCCAUACCUCCCAUGUUUCCUUCAGCAGCCGCCAUUACCCCCUUACCCUCCUAACUCCUUCACAUCGGUAACACACACAAACCCACACAUACUGAGACAGAGAGAAAAGAAAGAAAAGAGAGAAAAGAGGGCUGAACGGAGAAGAAGGAAGGGAGGGGGACGACCACCGCCGACGCGUCUUGCCAUAGCCACCGCCACCGAGCUGCCGGACCGAGCUAAGAAGGAGAAGAGGCCGCUGUUGUCAUCGAGCUUGCUGUCGUCCAUAGCCGCCGCCGUUGUGCUCCAGCUCGUUGCCACCAUCGCAGACCGCCGCUGCCACCGCGCCACUCAUCGCCGUCGCAAGGAAGACCAGGACCGAGGGAGAGAGCCGCGCGAGGAGUCGCCGUCGCCGCCGUUCGCGAGAGAGAGAGAGAGAGACGCGCUGCACGGGAGUUGCCGUCGUGGGGUGUGUUGCCGUUGAGAAGCUGUCGCCGCCAGAUCCGCCGUUGUCAGAGCUUCUGUCCGAGUCCUGCCGCCGGAGAACACCUCUGCCGCCACUAAGAUCUGCCGCCGUCACCGUUGCCGGAGUUCUGGUCGUCGCCGCCGUUCGAGGUAGCUGCCGGAGCUGCCGCCAAACCGGUUCAGCGACCAUCGUUGUUUCAUUUUCUUAGUUCGGGUCGUGUUUUGAGCGUUGCAUGUCGCUCUUAAGUUGCUGUGAGUGCUGCGAAAGUGAUCAGGGACUGAGUUUGUGGUUGCUGUUGGUUUCGGGUUAAGAGAAAUGGUUUUGUUGACGCAUUUUGAGUUAUGGUUUCGACGAGUCAAGGUAG